UUACCUCAUAUUUGUAUGGAAUGGGAUCGUUUGCGUACGUUUGCCGCUAGGGGCGCUGUUCCAACUGCAUACAAAAUUGGAUUA
rnacentral:pre_miRNA from 1 species